rnacentral:lncRNA from 1 species
CGGAGAUGUGGCUCUGGCUCUCCCACAGAGACAUGGCUCUCUCUCUGACUCUUGCUGGUGGAGACAUUGGUCUCUGUCAGCAACGUGGGAAGUGCUGAGUGACGUUUGGCGUCUUGGGUCUUGGCAGCUUGGUGUGAGCUUGUUAAGUGUUAGCCAGCAUGAGGUCUUCAGGGACAGGAGUAAGAUGUAUAAUAACAUCAUGAGAGGAAAACACAAUCCACCUACCUGAGCAGCAUGGGGAAAGGUUUCCUAUUGCAAGUUUGCCUCAGACAGACAACCUCAGGCUGGGACAUUUGAGGAUCAAAAGGGAGAGUGGAUCAGCAAGGACCCUGGUUUCUUUCACAAUGACUACAAAAUCAUAGAAAGAGAAAAUCAAGUGACCAACAUGUUGCAGGACCCAUAGAGCUUGUCUACCACUAUGUACAGAUGUUACAGAAAGCAAUGAAUUGGGCCAAAGGAGGAUGAACAAGAGAAGAAAAACAGAUUCAUCUCUUCUCCACAGAUCUGACAGGUAUCAGCACCAUAUUUGUGUCAUAAAAACAUUUUGGUUAGAUACAAGCAAAGGAAAGAUGACUAGCUAAUGGAAAUAGACUUCAGUAUGCUAAUGGAAGCAAUGUCCACAUGAGAAGUAAAGUAAAAUACAUCAUUAUCUUCCAUCACUCUACUCUUCUAUUCAUUUGUGUGAAGUAAGAAGGAGAAGACUAGCUGGAUGGAGAGGAGAUUGGAGAACAUCACAAUUCAAGAGUAAUGGAUGGAUGUUUCAGAGAGACCACUUUUGGCUAAAAUGAAAAAAUACAUAAAAAUUAAAGCUAUAUAAAAAUAACUAACUUAAGGAGGUAAUGACUUCCUCAUCAAUGGACAUCUUUAUUUCUUUAUUUUACAUGUAAUUUAAAUUGCCCUUCCCCAGCCUCUUCUCACUGAACAAUAAUAACAGUAGCAGCAGUAACAACAAAAGAAACUCUCAUCAUUAACUUGUAUAAUUUGGCAAAAAUAAAUUCACAUUGGCU